rnacentral:tRNA from 1 species
GCAGUGGUGGUUCAGUGGUAUAAUUCUCACCUUUCAUGUGAGAAACCCAGGUUCGAUUCCCGGCCAGUGCA